rnacentral:lncRNA from 1 species
UUCAUGUAGGGGCACUGGACUGCCUAGAGUUGGAGGAAGGGACCCUUAUGUGUCUCCAGAAGCCUUCCUUUCCAUUCCUGUGGGGUCUGACAGUUGUUGGAAGAAGGCCUGCAGGUCCAGGGCCGAGCAGGGGCCUCCACCGUCUGCUGAGGAACUUACUGUGUCUCUGUUUGAUUGAGCCUGGGCAUGAGAUAAAACACGAGGUCAUCUGCAAUGGCACUGGUGCUGUGGCUGUAUCAGCAUGGCUCUGAUGUCCCUUCGGGGCAGGCAACAGUUCAGGGAGGACUUACAAGCAAGCUCUGGAACUUGAAGUCUCAAGAGAUGACAAAUAGUCAAUUCUCAAAAAAUGAAGAAAAGAAAAACUUGUUUCUUCAUGUUUGCUAACCCUAUCUAUAUCUAUGGUUUUGGCCAAUAAAUUCACUGUGUUUAAAUCCUCA